GAUGAAGAACGCAGCAAAAUGCGAUAAGUAAUGUGAAUUGCAGAAUUCAGUGAAUCAUCGAAUCUUUGAACGCACAUGGCGCCUUCCAGUAUCCUGGGAGGCAUGCCUGUCCGAGCGUCGUUUCAACCCUCGAGCCCCCGUGGCCCGGCGUUGGGGAUCUGCCACGGCAGGCCCCUAAAACCAGUGGCGGACCCGAAGGCCCUCUCCUUUGCGCAGUAGCAUCAGCCUCGCAUUGGGAUCCCUCGGCGUCCUGCCUCUAAACCCCCCACAAGUCCGCUCCGGCGGCACCAAGGUUGACCUCGGAUCAGGUAGGAAUACCCGCUGAACUUAAGCAUAUCAAUAAGCGGAGGA
rnacentral:misc_RNA from 1 species